rnacentral:misc_RNA from 1 species
AAGUCGUAACAAGGUUUCCGUAGGUGAACCUGCGGAAGGAUCAUUACCGAGAUAUUUUUGUGUAACUUUUGUUCACGAAAUCUCCCACCCUUUGUGUUAAUCGAUAUUAUUACUUUGGUGAAGCGUGUUUAGUUGUAUGCUUUAGUUUCGACGAAAAGUAGACACCUAAAUCCAUUGACUUUCUUGAUUGAGAGUGGGUGCGUUCUUCACCAAAGGAACUUCAAACUCUUUAUUAUCAAAACAAUUGUCUGAGUUUAUAUUUUAAAUAAACAAAACUUUCAACAACGGAUCUCUUGGUUCUG